rnacentral:lncRNA from 1 species
UCCCAAAAAGCUCCUCUCUUAGCUCUCCACCGAUCUCAAAUCCACCCAAAAUCUUAGAUCUCCAUCUCAAAUCCUUAAGCAAUCUCUCUCCCUCUCACAGCUUACCCUCCUAAUCUCCACCAAAUUUCAAACCCAAACCUACAAAAUCCAUGAAAAACACUUCUAAACCCUCCUCUCCUCUUCAUUUCCAUCCAUCUCUCAUCCCUCUCUAUCUUAUUGAUCGAUUUUCCUCCUCUCCUUGGGACAAUGGCCCCCAAAAUGAGAUUGCCGCAGAGAAGGAAGGCUGUAAGGUCUUUG